rnacentral:lncRNA from 1 species
CAAGCCUGGGGUCUGGGUGGGUGAGUGUAAAGGGAAGGAGGAGCCCCUGCCUGAGGACAGGAAGGAGCCGUGGGAGGCCGCCUGGCAGGGGAGCUGGGUCAGACCUAGGGAGGCGCCUGGGUGUGUGUGGUGGGUGUCUGAUCCAGUUAGCUGCGGCCGUGUCCCUCCAGGUUACAGCACGGUGGUGUGGUGACUGACAUGCAAAACCAGACAGGCCCAAGCUGCUGCCUGGCUCACCAGGUGACCUUGCCUAAAUCAAUUAGCUUCUGAGAGCCCAGUUUCCUUAUCCAACUAAAAUUAAUUAGCACUGUGCACCUCCAGAGCUGUCAUGAGGAAAAACAGAUCCAGCAGCUGCCUCUGACACACACUGGACUCUGGGCUGCCAGGCCCUCUCCCCUCCCGCCAUGCACACUCACCCUGCCCAGGGCCCAGGAGGACGAAGGCUCUCCCGCAUCAGGGGAAGCCCAGAUCCCAGUGGAGCUGACCCAGUAGAAGGCCUAGGACCAUAAAAGGACCAUCAGAGACCCCCAUAGGCAAAAUUCCAUCCAUUGGAGGGGCAUCUUCUGCAGUGGGGACCGAGAAGCAAGAAUCAGGAAGGGAGUGAGACUCUGACACUCCACCGGCCCCACCCCCACCCCAGUGUGAGUCCUGCCCAGCAUGUUGAGACUGUGCCCUGGACCACUAGGGGAGAGACAAGCCAGGCCCCGUGGACCCAGCCAUACUCCCCCCACAUACUCUGGCAGCUGGGCCUGGAGCAGGGGUGACCAGGACCCCUGGGGAUGCAGGUAGGGGUGGAAGCUACUGGUGGCUCUCUCCUGGUCCUGGGGCAGGGAGGGAGCUUCCCUCAACUUCUUUACCAGCAGUCGGGCCAGGGAAGUCCCUCUGAGGGACCAGCAGGGUGGGGCUGGCCCCCAGAGGACACUGGGACUAAUGUCCCCAACGUGACCCUGGCCCCUUCCCUACACUCACCCUCCAGCCAGGCCCUUUUCUGUUGACCCAGCAGUUUUCGUUUUUUGUUCCUUAAGCCUCUGAGCAAACUCUGGGCUGGUUGUGGAUGGCACUGCAGCCCCACACCCGGUGCCCCAGAUGGCCACCUCAAAGGAGCCCAGAGAGGGCAAAGUGGUCCUGGGAAGAUUCCCGCCCAGAGUGCUAGAGCAACAGUCUGCCUGGUCGGUGGCAGCAGAGGCAGCGUAGAGGGACGUCCUGG